rnacentral:rRNA from 1 species
UACGUAGGCAGCGAGCGUUGUUCGGGGUUACUGGGCGUAAAGGGUGUGUAGGCGGUUGCUUAAGUUUGGUGUGAAAUCUCCCGGCUCAACCGGGAGGGUGCGCCGAAUACUGAGUGACUAGAGUGCGGGAGAGGAAAGUGGAAUUCCUGGUGUAGCGGUGAAAUGCGUAGAUAUCAGGAGGAACACCGGUGGUGUAGACGGCUUUCUGGACCGUAACUGACGCUGAGACACGAAAGCGUGGGUAGCAAACAGG